CCGCGAGCAGCCAGCACGGCGAGGUCGCGGUCGCCUUCCAGGCGGCCCGGCUGCAGCUGCUGCGGCCCCGGGUGGAUCUGGAGGUCGCCUCCGCGGCC
rnacentral:tRNA from 1 species